rnacentral:rRNA from 1 species
AACGAACGCUGGCGGCAUGCCUAACACAUGCAAGUCGAACGAGACCUUCGGGUCUAGUGGCGCACGGGUGCGUAACGCGUGGGAACCUGCCCUUAGGUUCGGAAUAACUCCCCGAAAGGGGUGCUAAUACCGGAUAAUGUCUUCGGACCAAAGAUUUAUCGCCUUUGGAUGGGCCCGCGUUGGAUUAGCUGGUUGGUAGGGUAAAAGCCUACCAAGGCGAGGUUCCUUAGCUGGUCUGAGAGGAGGAUCAGCCACACUGGGACUGAGACACGGCCCAGACUCCUACGGGAGGCAGCAGUGGGGAAUAUUGGACAAUGGGCGAAAGCCUGAUCCAGCAAUGCCGCGUGAGUGAUGAAGGCCGUAGGGUUGUAAAGCUCUUUUACACGGGAUGAUAAUGACAGUACCGGGAGAAUAAGCACCGGCUAACUCCGUG